CUACUACUUUCUGGUAAUGAAAUCUGUACUUUGCAAACACUAUAGCAAUUAUCUCCAUGGAAAAGUUCUGAUAGGAAAAGAAUAUUAUUUUAACCUUCUUUAUUAUGAUUUAGCAGCUGGAAACAAGGAAAAUGUCCAGGACUGCUGUGCUACUCAUCUCUCUGCAGACUAUCAGCAACAACUCCACAGACCAAGCUGGGAACCGACGGUUUCAUGUAAUAAGUAUUUGGAUGCGUUUUCAAGUAAGGACUGGGAGAGAGAAAGAAAAAUGGAUGUAAUCUCUUGCAUCCUUUCUGUAUGGCAGCAAGAUCAUCGAGAGGCCGAAAGGAUCCAGUUGCCUAACCCUGCAGAGCCUGGUUAUCCAUUUGGAGAUCCGCUUGAGUUACUCUAGAGCUUGGCACAUCCCCAGUUUGCCUCCCUGGUAUCCUGCAGGCUUUCUGCCACUUCAGCAGCACAUCUUCUGCUGGAGCUGUGCUAUUCCUUCCCCGCAGCCUGCAAGGCAGAAGCUGUUUGCGAGCCUCUGUGGGAGUUACUGCUACGUUUGUGGAUACGUACAAGUUCUGAAGUAAAAAUAUGACUCAGAAUAGCUCCGCCUUACUCCUAUUCCCUAGAAACACGACUUCGACAAGGCUUACUUUGACCGUCUGCGAGGCGCUGAGGGUAUGAAAGCGUACCACAGAGCGAGCAAGCUCGUAUCAUCAAACACAGCAAGCUAGUACAAAAAUUUGUUUAAGUGAUGUAGUGUGGUGCUGAUCUAAAGUGGUCUGGAAUACAAUGAAAGGCUUUUUGUAGCAUCCUAAACAGAAGGAUAUUGAAGGGAGCUGAUUCUGCUUUGAUCCUUAUGCUUGUUGUCAAAGCGCUUGGGAUUGAAGAGACUGUUGGCUACAAUUGACUGUGACAAUUAGGAGAUGAUCAGAGCCCUAGAGUGGAGCACUUAAAGGGUUUGCAUUUAAAGGACUCUCAGAGCACUAAUUGUAUAAAAUUCUAGUAACUGCACAUUCUCUUGCAGGAAAGGUAAUGG